rnacentral:lncRNA from 1 species
CGGGCUACUACUCUGUGGAGAAUGGGUUCUAUUUUUUUCAGUUAGGCAACCAAAGAGGAAGAGACACUUUUGUCUUUUAUCCAGUGAGUCUAAGAACACAGGGAAGGACUCUGACUAGCCCAGUUUGGAUUAUGUACCAAUUGUGGGACCAAUCAUCUCUAGAGAGGUGUUUAUUACGGAAUCGGUGGCCCUAGGAGAACCACAUGGAGUGGGGAAAAAGAGAGUGCUCUGAAGCACCCAGAAGAAAGCCAUGCCUUGGCAGAGAAAGCAAGAGUUGUUUACAACUGUAGAUCUAAAGUAGGGUGUAUGAAUCUGUAUUUAAAAAAAAAAAAACUCUUAAAUGAUUUUUCCAGGGUUUGGGAUGCCCUGAGUUAGAUGACGUCCUUUGUAACUCUGACACCUUUUCUUCCCUCUCUUUUUUUAGGGUCUAAAUUACACAAAAUUGAGUUGGGAACAGCAAAAGAAAAGAAUACCAUGGGCGAUAAUAGGAAAAAGAAGCAAUGAAGAAGGAAGGAGUUAAGAGGAUCGCUGCAUUGUGUAGCAGAAAUGUCUCAGCCAACCCAUUUGGACAAGAGAUCUGCACAGGAGAGCUCUGUGAAAAGCAAAAACAUGGACUAUUCUAUAGACUUGGUGGAAAAGCUUUCCUUGAGGAAUCAAACCACAGAGGGCUAGGAUGAGAGGUUAGUAAUUUAAGUCACUGACUACUCAGAAUAUGAAUUCACAUCCUUGUUUAAAUGUUUACAGUUUGGUAGGUUGUAAAAUGGCUGCAAAUUCUUCCCAUCUCAGAUUGCACUCCUCUUUGCCAUGUGAUUUUCUUGUCCUUCCAUCAAGAGAUAGAGUCUUUUUCUCUACCUCUUAAAUCUGGGUUUGGCUAUGUGACCUGCUUUAGUCAAAGGAACAUUAAGAAAUGUAAUGCAGCCAGAGGCUUAAAAAACAAAAACAUUGGGCUUUGCCCUCUCUUGCUGCUGGAUCCCUUUUGUCACUACAUGAGGAAGCUCAGAACAGCCUGCUAGAAGAUGAGAAAACAGAGGGAAUAAAGACAAGGGUCCCAGGGGGGGCCCCUAUACC